AGAAACUUGAAAGUAAAAGCUACGAAUAUGACUAUGGAGUCUUUAGGCGUCCCCUUCGUCGUCCUCCUGCGGAACCGGCUCGGGAACAAUGUCUUCCUGAUCUGAAAUGAUUAAAUAAGGAAUGAGCUACACCAGCCCAGUAAAGACAUCACGAUAUCUCACCGUCACGGAGGUAAAAGUGGGUAGAAAACACAAAAAGACCAAUGGAGCAUAAUUUACAACAAAUCCUUUUAUCAAUAAUAAAACCUUU
rnacentral:lncRNA from 1 species